UCCAAAAGAGUAUGUUGUUUGAGCACCUU
rnacentral:sRNA from 1 species